rnacentral:rRNA from 1 species
AAGACCUUGCGCUUUUGGAGCGGCCGAUGCCCGAUUAGCUUGUUGGUAAGGUAAAAGCUUACCAAGGCUUCGAUCAGUAGCUGGUCUGAGAGGACGGCCAGCCACACUGGGACUGAGACACGGCCCAGACUCCUACGGGAGGCAGCAGUGGGGAAUUUUGGACAAUGGGGGCAACCCUGAUCCAGCCAUGCCGCGUGAGUGAAGAAGGCCUUCGGGUUGUAAAGCUCUUUCAGCCGGAACGAAACGGUUACGGUUAAUACCCGUGAUUACUGACGGUACCGGAAGAAGAAGCACCGGCUAACUACGUGCCAGCAGCCGCGGUAAUACGUAGGGUGCGAGCGUUAAUCGGAAUUACUGGGCGUAAAGCGUGCGCAGGUGGUUUUGUAAGUCAGAUGUGAAAGCCCCGGGCCCAACCUGGGAACU